rnacentral:rRNA from 1 species
AUUGAACGCUGGUCGGCAGGCCUAACACAUGCAAGUCGAGCGGAAACGAGUUAUCUGAACCUUCGGGGAACGAUAACGGCGUCGAGCGGCGGACGGGUGAGUAAUGCCUAGGAAAUUGCCCUGAUGUGGGGGAUAACCAUUGGAAACGAUGGCUAAUACCGCAUAAUGCCUACGGGCCAAAGAGGGGGACCUUCGGGCCUCUCGCGUCAGGAUAUGCCUAGGUGGGAUUAGCUAGUUGGUGAGGUAAUGGCUCACCAAGGCGACGAUCCCUAGCUGGUCUGAGAGGAUGAUCAGCCACACUGGAACUGAGACACGGUCCAGACUCCUACGGGAGGCAGCAGUGGGGAAUAUUGCACAAUGGGCGCAAGCCUGAUGCAGCCAUGCCGCGUGUGUGAAGAAGGCCUUCGGGUUGUAAAGCACUUUCAGUCGUGAGGAAGGUAGUGUAGUUAAUAGCUGCAUUACUUGACGUUAGCGACAGAAGAAGCACCGGCUAACUCCGU